rnacentral:rRNA from 1 species
ACCUCAAGUCAUGUGAGAUUACCCGCUGAACUUAAGCAUAUCAAUAAGCGGAGGAAAGAAACUAACAAGGAUUCCCCUAGUAACGGCGAGUGAAGCGGGAAGAGCACAAAUUUAAAAUCUACCUGGUUUCAGGUCGAGUUGUAAUUUGAAGAUACGUUUUUGAUGUUCCAGGUUGGACUAAAUCCUUUGGGAUAAGGUAUCAUAGAGGGUGAGAAUCCCGUAUAUACCAACCGUAGGGAUGUUAUUAAAUACGUUUCUAAGAGUCGAGUUGUUUGGGAAUGCAGCUCUAAAUGGGUGGUAAAUUUCACCUAAUGCUAAAUAUAAGCGAGAGACCGAUAGCGAACAAGUACAGUGAUGGAAAGAUGAAAAGAACUUUGAAAAGAGAGUUAAAUAGUACGUGAAAUUGUUGAAAGGGAAACGAUUGAAGUCAGUCAUGCCGGUGGGAAUCAACUUAGGGGAAACUCUAGGUGCACUUCUUCGCUUGGCAGGUCAACGUCGAUUUUGAAUGUCAUAAAAUAAUUGGGGGAAGGUAGCUCCUUCGGGAGUGUUAUAGCCUUUGAUAGAUGUGAUGUUUGGGGUCGAGGAUUGCAACGAAUACCCUUUGGGGCUAGCCGCCUGAUCUCUAAUCGGUGUUGGGUUAUGGAUAGCAUGCUGACCGUGAUCUAAUUACUGGUUAAAAGGUUAGAGCGUGCAUAAAUUCGUUAAGGACGUUGACGUAAUGGCUUUAAACGACCCGUCUUGAAACACGGACCAAGGAGUCUAACAUGUAUGCGAGUGUUAGGGUAUUAAACCCAGACGCGAAAUGAAAGUGAGUGUAGGUGGGAUCCUUUAUUGGAGCACCAUCGACCNNNNNNNNNNNUUAUCGAUAGAAUUGAGUUAGAGC